rnacentral:rRNA from 1 species
UACGAAGGGGGCUAGCGUUGCUCGGAAUCACUGGGCGUAAAGGGUGCGUAGGCGGGUCUUUAAGUCAGGGGUGAAAUCCUGGAGCUCAACUCCAGAACUGCCUUUGAUACUGAGGAUCUUGAGUACGGGAGAGGUGAGUGGAACUGCGAGUGUAGAGGUGAAAUUCGUAGAUAUUCGCAAGAACACCAGUGGCGAAGGCGGCUCUCUGGGACGGUACUGACGCUGAGACGCGAAAGCGUGGGGAGCGAACAGG